rnacentral:rRNA from 1 species
UCCCACUAUUGGAGCGGSUGAUAUCGGAUUAGSUAGUUGGUGAGGUAAAGGCUCACCAAGGCGACGAUCCGUAGCUGGUUUGAGAGGACGACCAGCCACACUGGAACUGAGACACGGUCCAGACUCCUACGGGAGGCAGCAGUGGGGAAUUUUGGACAAUGGGGGAAACCCUGAUCCAGCCAUUCCGCGUGUGUGAAGAAGGCCUUCGGGUUGUAAAGCACUUUUGGCGGGAAAGAAACGGCGUCGACU